rnacentral:rRNA from 1 species
GACGAACGCUGGCGGCGUGCCUAAUACAUGCAAGUUGAGCGCUGAAGGUUGGUACUUGUACCAACUGGAUGAGCAGCGAACGGGUGAGUAACGCGUGGGGAAUCUGCCUUUGAGCGGGGGACAACAUUUGGAAACGAAUGCUAAUACCGCAUAAAAACUUUAAACACAAGUUUUAAGUUUGAAAGAUGCAAUUGCAUCACUCAAAGAUGAUCCCGCGUUGUAUUAGCUAGUUGGCGAGGUAAAGGCUCACCAAGGCGAUGAUACAUAGCCGACCUGAGAGGGUGAUCGGCCACAUUGGGACUGAGACACGGCCCAAACUCCUACGGGAGGCAGCAGUAGGGAAUCUUCGGCAAUGGACGAAAGUCUGACCGAGCAACGCCGCGUGAGUGAAGAAGGUUUUCGGAUCGUAAAACUCUGUUGGUAGAGAAGAACGUUGGUGGGAGUGGAAAGCUCAUCAAGUGACGGUAACUACCCAGAAAGGGACGGCUAACUACGUG